rnacentral:rRNA from 1 species
UGUUCCUUGAGGAGUGGCUUCCGGAGCUAACGCGUUAAGUCGACCGCCUGGGGAGUACGGCCGCAAGGUUAAAACUCAAAUGAAUUGACGGGGGCCCGCACAAGCGGUGGAGCAUGUGGUUUAAUUCGAUGCAACGCGAAGAACCUUACCUACUCUUGACAUCCAGAGAACUUAGCAGAGAUGCUUUGGUGCCUUCGGGAACUCUGAGACAGGUGCUGCAUGGCUGUCGUCAGCUCGUGUUGUGAAAUGUUGGGUUAAGUCCCGCAACGAGCGCAACCCUUAUCCUUUGUUGCCAGCGAUUCGGUCGGGAACUCAAAGGAGACUGCCAGUGAUAAACUGGAGGAAGGUGGGGAUGACGUCAAGUCAUCAUGGCCCUUACGAGUAGGGCUACACACGUGCUACAAUGGCAUAUACAAAGAGAAGCGACCUCGCGAGAGCAAGCGGACCUCAUAAAGUAUGUCGUAGUCCGGAUUGGAGUCUGCAACUCGACUCCAUGAAGUCGGAAUCGCUAGUAAUCGUGGAUCAGAAUGCCACGGUGAAUACGUUCCCGGGCCUUGUACACACCGCCCGUCACACCAUGGGAGUGGGUUGCAAAAGAAGUAGGUAGCUUAACCUUCGGGAGGGCGCUUACCACUUUGUGAUUCAUGACUGGGGUGAAGU